UGGGGAAUAUUGCACAAUGGGGGAAACCCUGAUGCAGCCAUGCCGCGUGUGUGAAGAAGGCCUUCGGGUUGUAAAGCACUUUCAGUUGUGAGGAAAAGUUAGUAGUUAAUACCUGCUAGCCGUGACGUUAACAACAGAAGAAGCACCGGCUAACUCCGUGCCAGCAGCCGCGGUAAUACGGAGGGUGCGAGCGUUAAUCGGAAUUACUGGGCGUAAAGCGCACGCAGGCGGUUUGUUAAGCUAGAUGUGAAAGCCCCGGGCUCAACCUGGGAUGGUCAUUUAGAACUGGCAGACUAGAGUCUUGGAGAGGGGAGUGGAAUUCCAGGUGUAGCGGUGAAAUGCGUAGAUAUCUGGAGGAACAUCAGUGGCGAAGGCGACUCCCUGGCCAAAGACUGACGCUCAUGUGCGAAAGUGUGGGUAGCGAACAGGAUUAGAUACCCUGGUAGUCCACACCGUAAACGCUGUCUACUAGCUGUGUGUGUCUUUAAGACGUGCGUAGCGAAGCUAACGCGCUAAGUAGACCGCCUGGGA
rnacentral:rRNA from 1 species